GUGCCGCAUAGUUGAGAAAAAAUUUCCAGAGUGGUUUAUGUUCGAAAAUCUUAAAUUGUGGUAGAAAAAAACUGAAAUUAACAAAAUGAAAUUUGGGUAUAGGACAUUUUAAGUUAAUUUUUGACCAAUUUGAAUAGAUUGUUACAGGCAACGACUAUAUAGGUGUUUUAGAGGAGACAUUUCUGCAUCGUUUAGGAAAAUCUCCAGAGAGGUUUAUGUUCGAAAAUCAGAAGUUACGGUAAAAAAACUGAAAUUGACAAAAUAAGAUUAGGGGGGUAGGGCACUUAAAGUUAAUGUUGAACCAAUUUAUAGAGAUUGUGACGGGCAACGACUAUAUAGUUGUUGUAGAGGAGACAUUGGCGCAUCGUGUAGAAAAAAAAAUCCAGUUCACUUUAUGUUCGAAAAUCUGAAGUUAGGGUUAAAAAACUGAAACUUUCAAAAUGAGAUUUGGGGAGUAGGGCACUCAAAGUUAAUUUUGGACCAAUGACUAUAAAGGUGUUGUAGAGGAGACAUUGGCGCAUCGUUUGAGAAAAUCUCAAGAUUGGUUUAUGUUCGAAAAUCUGAACUUACGGUUAAAAAACUGAAAUUGUGAAAUUGAAUAAAUGAGAUUAGGGGGUAGGCCAAUUUAAGUUAAUUUUAGACCAAUUUGAAGAGAUUGUGACGGGCAAUGACUAUAUAGGUGUUGUAGGGGAGACAAUGGCGCAUUGUUUAAGAAAAUCUCCAGAGUGGUUUAUGUUCGAAAAUCUGAAGUUACGGUUAAAAAACUGAAAAUUUUAUUGUAAAAUUGACAAAAUGAGAUUAGGCGGGUAGGGCACUAAAAGAAAAAUUUGGACCAUUUUAAAGAGAUUGUGACGGACAACGAAUAUAUGGGUGUUGUAGAGGACACAUUGGCGCAUCGUUUAAGAAAAUCUCCAGAGUUGUUUAUGUUCGAAAAUCUGAAGUUACGGUUAAAAAACUGAAAAAUUUAUUGUGAAAUUGACAAAAUGAGAUUAGGGGGGUAGGGCACAAAAGAAAAAUUAGGACCAUUUUAAAGAGAUUGUGACGGACAACGACUAUAUAGGUGUUGUAGAGGAGAUAAUGACGCAUCGUUUAAGAAAAUCUCCAGAGUGGUUUAUGUUCGAAAAUCUGAAGUUACGAUUAAAAAACUGAAACUUUUAUUGUGAAAUUGACAAAAUGAGAUUACGGGGGUAGGGCAACUUGAGUUAAUUUUGGACCAAUUUCAAGAGAUUGUGACGGGCAACGACUAUAUAGGUGUUGUAGAGGAAACAAUUGCGCAUCGUUUAAGAAAAUCCCCAGAGUGGUUUAUGUUCGAAAAUCUGAAGUUACGGUUAAAAAACUGAAAUUGUCAAAUUGUCAAAAUGAGAUUAGGCGGUAGGCCAAUUUAAGUUAAUUUUGGACCAAUUUCAAGAGAUUGUGACGGGCAACAACUGUAUGGAUGUUGUAGAGGAGACAAUGGCGCAUCGUUUAAGAAAAUCUCCUGAGUGGUUUAUGUUCGAAAAUCUGAAGUUACGGUUAAAAAACUGAAAUUGUGAAAUUGACAAAAUGAGAUUAGGGGGGUAGGCCAAUUUAAGUUAAUUUUGGACCAAUUUCAAGAGAUUGUGACGGGCAACGACUAUAUAGGUGUUGUAGAGGAGACAAUGGCGCGUCGUUUAAGAAAAUCUCCAGAGUGGUUUAUGUUCGAAAAUCUGAAGUUACGGUUAAAAAACUGAAAAUUUUAUUGUGAAAUUGACAAAAUGAGAUUAGGGGGGUAGGGCACUAAAAGAAAAAUUUGGACCAUUUUAAAGAGAUUGUGACGGAGAACGACUAUAUAGGUGUUGUAGAGGAGACAUUGGCGCAUCGUUUAAGAAAAUCUCCAGAGUGGUUUAUGUUCGAAAAUCUGAAGUUACGGUUAAAAAAAUUUUAUUGUGAAAUUGACAAAAUGAGAUUAGGGGGGUAGGGCACUAAAAGAAAAAUUUGGACCAUUUUAAAGAGAUUGUGACGGGCAACGACUAUAUAGGUGUUGUAGAGGAGACAAUGGCGCAUCGUUUAAGAAAAUCUCCAGAGUGGUUUAUGUUCGAAAAUCUGAAGUUACGGUUAAAAAACUGAAACUUUUAUUGUGAAAUUGACAAAAUGAGAUUAGGGGGUAGGGCAAUUUAAGUUAAUUUUGGACCAAUUUUAAGAGAUUGUGACGGGCAACGACUAUAAAGGUGUUGUAGAGGAAACAAUGGCGCAUCGUUUAAGAAAA